AGGGAUCAUUACCGAGUUUACAACUCCCAAACCCCUGUGAACUAUACCAUUUGUUGCCUCGGCGGCGUCCUGCUUCACGGCGGGCCCGCCAGAGGACCCAAACUCUUGUAUUUGAAUUGAGUCUUCUCUGAGUGAUACAAGUAAUAAAUCAAAACUUUCAACAACGGAUCUCUUGGUUCUGGCAUCGAUGAAGAACGCAGCGAAAUGCGAUAAGUAAUGUGAAUUGCAGAAUUCAGUGAAUCAUCGAAUCUUUGAACGCACAUUGCGCCCGCCAGUAUUCUGGCGGGCAUGCCUGUUCGAGCGUCAUUUCAACCCUCAAGCCCCCCGGGCUUGGUGUUGGAGAUCGGCAAAACGGCCCCCUCGGGGGUUCGCGCCGUCUCCCAAAUCUAGUGGCGGUCUCGCUGUAGCUUCCUCUGCGUAGUAACUCACCUCGCACUGGGACUGGGCGCGGCCACGCCGUUAAACACCCCACUUCUGAAGGUUGACCUCGGAUCAGGUAGGACUACCCGCUGAACUUAA
rnacentral:rRNA from 1 species